UUCCUUUUAAUAUAUAAAGAUCAGCAGUUUACUUUACAGUUGAUUAUUACGAGUAACUAUUUGCCCGCAAAACAAAAAUGAAUAGAUGUAUCAUUUUGUUCGCUCUAACCUUCUGUAUAGGAGCAUUAGGAAGCGAAAUAGAUUCGUCUGGUAUAAGUAAAAAUGAUAAGGGGAAGUGUGUUCUCGCUGUACUAAAAGACUUUUCUGUAUGUCUCAUUUCUAAAUAUGAGGAUGCAAACUCAAGAGAGCUAAGUUUGGGGGGUGAUUUCGUCCAAUGCGUAAUCAAAAUGCUUACGCAGUUCAUCAACUGCUUUACUGGAUAAAGAUCUUCCUGCAAUCAACUCUCUGCCUUUAUAAAGCAAAUUAUAGUGAAUGGCUUAAUAAACCAGUUUCACGGUA